CCUACGGGUGGCUGCAGUGGGGAAUAUUGGACAAUGGGCGAAAGCCUGAUCCAGCCAUGCCGCGUGUGUGAAGAAGGCCUUCGGGUUGUAAAGCACUUUCAGUGGGGAAGAAAGCCUUGGGGCUAAUACCCUCGAGGAAGGACAGCACCCACAGAAGAAGCACCGGCUAACUCCGUGCCAGCAGCCGCGGUAAUACGGAGGGUGCGAGCGUUAAUCGGAAUUACUGGGCGUAAAGCGCGCGUAGGCGGUCUGAUAAGCCGGUUGUGAAAGCCCCGGGCUCAACCUGGGAACGGCAUCCGGAACUGUCAGGCUAGAGAGCAGGAGAGGAAGGUAGAAUUCCCCGUGUAGCGGUGAAAUGCGUAGAGAUCGGGAGGAAUACCAGUGGCGAAGGCGGCCUUCUGGACUUAUACUGACGCUGAGGUGCGAAAGCGUGGGUAGCAAACAGGAUUAGAUACCCCAGUAGUC
rnacentral:rRNA from 1 species